rnacentral:rRNA from 1 species
GGACCCGCACAAGUAGUGGAGCAUGUGGUUUAAUUCGAAGAUACGCGCAGAACCUUACCAACACUUGACAUGUUCGUCGCGACUUUAAGAGAUUAAAGUUUUCGGUUCGGCCGGACGAAACACAGGUGCUGCAUGGCUGUCGUCAGCUCGUGUCGUGAGAUGUUGGUUAAGUCCCGCAACGAGCGCAACCCUCACUUUUAGUUGCCAUCAUUAAGUUGGGCACUCUGAAAGAACUGCCAGUGAUAAGCUGGAGGAAGGUGGGGAUGACGUCAAGUCCUCAUGCCCCUUAUGAGUUGGGCUACACACGUGCUACAAUGGACGGUACAGAGAGCAGCCACUACGCGAGUAGGAG